AGGAUUCCCCUAGUAAGGGGGACUGAAGCGGGAAGAGCUCACAGUGUGAAUCUGCACUCUAGUAGUGCCGAAUUGUGGUCUGUAGAAGUUUGUGUUUGGCCGGCCGGGUUAAGUCCCUUGGAAAAGGGCAGCAGAGAGGGUGAGACUCCCGUUCUUGCCUGGGUUUGGCCAUUUGACACUUACUUUCAACGAGUCGAGUUGUUUGGGAUUGCAGCUCAAAGUGGGUGGUAAAUUCCAUCUAAAGCUAAAUAUGGGUGGGAGACCGAUAGCGUACAAGUACCGUGAGGGAAAGAUGCAAAGAACUUUGAAAAGAGAGUUAAAGAGUACCUGAAAUUGCUGAAAGGGAAGCGAAGGAAACCAGUGCUUGGCUUGGUCAUAUUUCUCGAAUCGCUUGCGGUUUGGGCGCUGUGUCGUUGCCUUUGUCAUUUUUGCUUGUUCUCGGCGGAAACGUGUGUUCGGGAGGUAGCGCUUGCGUGAUACCGUUCACAUUAUUGCUGGGUUUGAGUGAGGCUGACGAAAUGGUUUUCUUUACCCCGUCUAGUAACACGGACCAAGGAGUCUAACAUGUGUGCGAGUCGGCGGGUUUGAAAACCUGCGAGGCGCAAGGAAGCUGACGGGCGAGAUCCCCUCUCUUGGGGGGGGUGCAUCGUCGACCGACCUUGAGCUUAUGCGAAGGGUUCGAGUGCGAGCACACCUGUUGGGACCCGAAAGAUGGUGAACUAUGCCUGAAUAGGGUGAAGCCAGGGGAAACUCUGGUGGAGGCUCGUAGCGAUUCUGACGUGCAAAUCGAUCGUCAAAUUUGGGUAUAGGGGCGAAAGACUAAUCGAACCA
rnacentral:rRNA from 1 species